AAUGUUGAAAAAUUAGCGGAUGACUUGUGGCUGGGGGUGAAAGGCCAAUCAAACCGGGAGAUAGCUGGUUCUCCCCGAAAGCUAUUUAGGUAGCGCCUCGUGAAUUCAUCUUCGGGGGUAGAGCACUGUUUCGGCUAGGGGGUCAUCCCGACUUACCAACCCGAUGCAAACUACGAAUACCGAAGAAUGUUAUCACGGGAGACACACGGCGGGUGCUAACGUCCGUCGUGAAGAGGGAAACAACCCAGACCGCCAGCUAAGGUCCCAAAGUCAUGGUUAAGUGGGAAACGAUGUGGGAAGGCACAGACAGCCAGGAUGUUGGCUUAGAAGCAGCCAUCAUUUAAAGAAAGCGUAAUAGCUCACUGGUCGAGUCGGCCUGCGCGGAAGAUGUAACGGGGCUAAACCAUGCACCGAAGCUGCGGCAGCGACACUAUGUGUUGUUGGGUAGGGGAGCGUUCUGUAAGCCUGCGAAGGUG
rnacentral:rRNA from 1 species